AAAACUAGAGAAAAUGGAAAGAGAAAAUAAAUUGCAGAUCAAAGACCAGCCGAAACUAGUCCAUGCAGUGUAACAAUGCCAAUCACCAUAUUUUGAUGAUUGAUCACAGGCAAAAAUUGUACAGGAGAUGGUGGUGAUUCCAUCUUCUUCAUGGCUUCCACAGCCAUUGCAUCUUGACCAAUUGUUCUUGGGUUCCUGUUGCACAUCUCCCCCACUGUUAGUUUAAAGAUGCCUUUCCCACUAGCUUUGAGAGUGCGCCUAAGAUCACCAUCCGUAAAUGUUCCAAUCAGGUGAUACUCUUCAUCAAUAACAAGCAGGCAACCGCAGCCUUUACUUGAUAGUUCAACUAGCUGAUCCAUUAUCAAAUCUCCUUCCCUGCAGACUGGAAGCUCAUCUUGCUUCUUCAUAACAUCUUUUACCUUAAAAAUCAAGCUCUUUCCGAUCCUCCCAGCGGGAUGAUUAGCAGCAUACUCAUCCUUAGUCAAAUUCCUGGCUCCCAUAAGCGCAAUCGCCACCGUAUCGCCAAAAACCAUCUGUAUAGCAGUGGAAGUAACGGGAGCCAAAUCAAAAGGACACAAUUCCCUCUCCAACGGCAAAUGUACAUUCAUAUCACAGACGGAAGCAAGAGCAUUGCCUUCCACGGACGUCACAGACACAAGGUAAGCGCCCUUAGCCUUAGCGCAAGGCACAAGGCGCAACAACUCCUCAGUAUUCCCAGAUUUACUAAAGAGCACGAGAAUGUCACGGGCGGUGAGGAUACCAAUAUCGCCAUGAAGGGCGUCGAGAGGGGAAAGGAAGCCAGC
rnacentral:misc_RNA from 1 species